rnacentral:rRNA from 1 species
GCUCAGGACGAACGCUGGCGGCGUGCCUAAUACAUGCAAGUCGAACGCUUUUUCUUUCACCGGAGCUUGCUCCACCGAAAGAAAAAGAGUGGCGAACGGGUGAGUAACACGUGGGUAACCUGCCCAUCAGAAGGGGAUAACACUUGGAAACAGGUGCUAAUACCGUAUAACACUAUUUUCCGCAUGGAAGAAAGUUGAAAGGCGCUUUUGCGUCACUGAUGGAUGGACCCGCGGUGCAUUAGCUAGUUGGUGAGGUAACGGCUCACCAAGGCCACGAUGCAUAGCCGACCUGAGAGGGUGAUCGGCCACACUGGGACUGAGACACGGCCCAGACUCCUACGGGAGGCAGCAGUAGGGAAUCUUCGGCAAUGGACGAAAGUCUGACCGAGCAACGCCGCGUGAGUGAAGAAGGUUUUCGGAUCGUAAAACUCUGUUGUUAGAGAAGAACAAGGAUGAGAGUAGAACGUUCAUCCCUUGACGGUAUCUAACCAGAAAGCCACGGCUAACUACGUGCCAGCAGCCGCGGUAAUACGUAGGUGGCAAGCGUUGUCCGGAUUUAUUGGGCGUAAAGCGAGCGCAGGCGGUUUCUUAAGUCUGAUGUGAAAGCCCCCGGCUCAACCGGGGAGGGUCAUUGGAAACUGGGAGACUUGAGUGCAGAAGAGGAGAGUGGAAUUCCAUGUGUAGCGGUGAAAUGCGUAGAUAUAUGGAGGAACACCAGUGGCGAAGGCGGCUCUCUGGUCUGUAACUGAC